rnacentral:tRNA from 1 species
GCUCCCAUGGCGUAGUGGUCACUGCACUCGCCUUGCACGCGGGAGACCCAGGUUCGAUUCCCGGUGGGGUCA